rnacentral:lncRNA from 1 species
CUGUUGCCCAUCUUCAGGAUCUACCACCAGAAAAUAUACCAUAUCGUUGACUUUGUUUAUAAGUGGAAAGUCAUAACCAGAGCACUCUAUGAAUAUUGUAUUAAAGAAGGCUAUGCAGGAAAAAACCUAAUCACAAUAUGGAAAAAGCAAGGCUAUGAGAACUUGUGCUGGCUGCUGUGCCUUCAGACAUGGAACACCAAUUUUGGGACAAACUGCAAUUGCUGUGUUCCUAAAACAAAGAUAGAAGUGGGCUGCAUCAUUGAGUGCAUGCACUGUGGCUGCCAGGGCUGCUCUAGCUGA